rnacentral:lncRNA from 1 species
AAUGAAUAGGCACCUAUGCACCGAGCAUUUCGUCCAUGUUAACAGAUCCCACAUAGUCAAGAUAGACCCGAAGUCCUUCAGUACGGCGUCUUUCACGGCCCAUGUGUUGAGUUGAGACGUUAAACGUACUCAUCUAAUCAAACACGUUUUACUUCGGGUAUUUCAGUGAAUGUUUACAGAGCUCGUAUUGUCUCCUCAGCUUUCUCUAGCCCUAGUCGCUUCACUGGGGAUCCGGCGAGGGCAGUGACUUCCUUCCGUUAAAACACAUACUUGAUUGAAAAUUCAUUGCUGUCAUGACGCAAAUGCAGAAAUUCUGCUCGCAUGCGCCAAUGAAUGUAAAGACAAGGCUUCAUUCAUGAUGUGUAACGCUCUUGCGCCAUCUAUUGCGAGAGAGCACCGGUGGGAGUAAACUGUCUCAUAUAAAAAUAUUGAUGUCUAGUAUUCAGCGUGGUUGUUUUGUUGCCAGAAUAGUGUGUUUUGGUGAUCGUUCCACUCUUUAAAGUGAACCAGCUCGUUCACGUGCUUCGCUCGCUGCCGUAGGAGAACGUAUGCAUGGCCAUAAAUAGGGUCGACUGCUCGUCUGGUUGAGUUAGAGACAGUUCAUAUUUGAAAAUACAGUUCGAAAACGGGGCUUUUUUUUGUACGGCAAUUUAUGCGCUGGGCAAAAAGGCCGUCGUGUGAACAAACGUUAGGCGAGCAUCACAAUGAUCUGUAGAAAUCAAUGCCAGAUCAACUACUGCAUUCUUCAGAGUGUGCCGGCUGUGCUAAGUCUAGAUACUCCGUAGUCCUCUUUCGUCAUUACGAACACAGGAAAAGAGAACAGUUCAAAGGGUAUCACAUCGUUUAAUACGGAUUGCGGCGAAGCCCGUUGUAUCUUUACCGAAAAAUGGAACCACUUGCCUUGAAGCUGCAUAGGUCGUCAAUAGUCACACGCGUGUCCUGCUUUAUGGUAUUAUGUUUGUUUGUUUUCUUGCUGUCCGUGGUCUUUUAUGUAGUCGUUAUACUAACAUCUGUUCAUAUUAUCAAGCCCAUGUCUUUAGUUAGCUGAGUCUCGCUUACCUGUUUCUUUUUCCGUCUUUUCAGCACAUAGCGAUCCAAGUGCAUAUGCACCGGCUUCCGUCUAAAGAAACAUUUGAUAGCACCGUCCAAUUUUUCUUUCUUCCUUGUCCUGUUCCCGCGCUGUAUCCAAAAGCACUACGGUAUCCACGCUUCUGCGCACACACGCUCGGCAUGUUCGUAGCCGUGCGAAGAAAUAAAUUUUGUGUAGAAAAGGCAAAGUAGGCAAUUUUUAAGCUCGCACUGCUCCUCCGUGUACAAGAUAGACCCACGCAUGUACUCCAGCCUCCGGGAGCCUUGGAAUUUCUGGUCACGCAACAUAAUAGCGUGCGUGAUCGUUCAAAAGACGGUGGCUCAACGAGCGAUGCUCCUCCGCGCUGACCACUCGACGCGUAUACACGCGGUGGCAGAUAGAGAUACCCAUCAGGGAUAGCUGAUGCCGAAGGUAUGAAAAUUAGUGGCAAGCUGUAAGAGUUGAGAUGAAAGAAGGACUGACAAGGGAGAAAUAAAGUGUUUCUCGAUACCCUUAAAA